rnacentral:antisense_RNA from 1 species
CUUGACCGACCCCAACAACAACGGCCGGUCCCCCGGCCGGUCCUGCCCGUAGGUGGCCAGUAGCGCCUGCGCCUC